GAUCCAGGAGUGUGCUGGCCUCUAGGGGCAUGUGCACGCUUCACUAGUCUUUCAACCACCUGUGAACUUUUGAUAGAUCUGUGAAGUCGUCUCUCAAGUCGUCAGACUUGGUUGCUGGGAUUUAAACGUCUCGGUGUGACUACGCAGUCUAUUUACUUACACACCCCAAAUGUAUGUCUACGAAUGUCAUUUAAUGGGCCUUGUGCCUUUAAACCAUAAUACAACUUUCAACAACGGAUCUCUUGGCUCUCGCAUCGAUGAAGAACGCAGCGAAAUGCGAUAAGUAAUGUGAAUUGCAGAAUUCAGUGAAUCAUCGAAUCUUUGAACGCACCUUGCGCCCCUUGGUAUUCCGAGGGGCAUGCCUGUUUGAGUGUCAUUAAAUUCUCAAACUCACUUUGGUUUCUUUCCAAUUGUGAUGUUUGGAUUGUUGGGGGCUGCUGGCCUUGACAGGUCGGCUCCUCUUAAAUGCAUUAGCAGGACUUCUCAUUGCCUCUGCGCAUGAUGUGAUAAUUAUCACUCAUCAAUAGCACGCAUGAAUAGAGUCCAGCUCUCUAAUCGUCCGCAAGGACAAUUUGACAAUUUGACCUCAAAUCAGGUAGGACUACCCGCUGAACUUAAGCAUAUCAAUAAGCCGGAGGAA
rnacentral:rRNA from 1 species